ACGCUCUCCCUUCGGGGGGAUGACGGAGCGGCGAACGGGUGAGUAACACGUGGGCAACCUGCCCCUAGCUCUGGGACAACACCGGGAAACCGGUGCUAAUACCGGAUACGACAUCGAGCGGCAUCUCUCGAUGUGGAAAGUUUUUUCGGCUAGGGAUGGGCCCGCGGCCUAUCAGCUUGUUGGUGGGGUAAUGGCCCACCAAGGCGACGACGGGUAGCCGGCCUGAGAGGGCGACCGGCCACAUUGGGACUGAGACACGGCCCAGACUCCUACGGGAGGCAGCAGUGGGGAAUAUUGCGCAAUGGGCGAAAGCCUGACGCAGCGACGCCGCGUGAGGGAUGACGGCCUUCGGGUUGUAAACCUCUUUCAGCAGGGACGAAUUCAGACGGUACCUGCAGAAGAAGCACCGGCCAACUACGUGCCAGCAGCCGCGGUAAUACGUAGGGUGCAAGCGUUGUCCGGAAUUAUUGGGCGUAAAGAGCUCGUAGGCGGUCUGUCGCGUCGGCUGUGAAAACUUGGGGCUCAACCCCAAGCCUGCAGUCGAUACGGGCAGACUAGAGUGUGGUAGGGGAGACUGGAAUUCCUGGUGUAGCGGUGAAAUGCGCAGAUAUCAGGAGGAACACCGGUGGCGAAGGCGGGUCUCUGGGCCAUAACUGACGCUGAGGAGCGAAAGCGUGGGGAGCGAACAGGAUUAGAUACCCUGGUAGUCCACGCCGUAAACGGUGGGUGCUAGGUGUGAGCGGUAUUCCACGCCGUUCGUGCCGCAGCU
rnacentral:rRNA from 1 species